rnacentral:ncRNA from 1 species
UUACAUAUUUGGCACACUAACCGAAAGGUUAGCUCGCAAAGCCUCGGAAUCUACAAGUCUUGACCCAGGUCUCUGACUCAUGAUCGUCCGGCUGCACUU